AGCAGCAUGGCGCAGUGGUAGCGCGCGGGGCCCAUAUGCAGUGUUAAGUUGCGCAACCCCGAGGUCACUUGAUCGAAACAAGUUGCUGCUA